GAGGGUGUAGCUCAAGUGGUAGAGCACAUGCCUUGAAUGCAUGAGGUCCUGGGUUCAAUCCCCAGUACCUCCU
rnacentral:tRNA from 1 species